CCUACGGGAGGCUGCAGUGAGGAAUAUUGGUCAAUGGGCUUACGCCUGAACCAGCCAAGUCGCGUGAGUGAAGAAGUAUUUCGGUAUGUAAAGCUCUAUCAGCAGGGAAGAAGCAAGACGGUACCUGACUAAGAAGCGCCGGCUAACUACGUUCCAGCAGCCGCGGUAAUACGUAGGGGGCAAGCGUUAUCCGGAUUUACUGGGUGUAAAGGGAGCGUAGACGGUAUGGCAAGUCUGAAGUGAAAGCCCAGGGCUUAACCCUGGGACUGCUUUGGAAACUGUUAGACUAGAGUGCUGGAGAGGUAAGUGGAAUUCCUAGUGUAGCGGUGAAAUGCGUAGAUAUUAGGAGGAACACCAGUGGCGAAGGCGGCUUACUGGACAGUAACUGACGUUGAGGCUCGAAAGCGUGGGGAGCAAACAGGAUUAGAUACCCCAGUAGUC
rnacentral:rRNA from 1 species